CAGUAGCCACGGUAAUACGAGGGGGGCAAGCGUUGUUCGGAAUUAUUGGGCGUAAAGGGUGCGUAGGCGGUUUCUUAAGUCUGAUGUGAAAGCCCCCGGCUCAACCGGGGAGGGUCAUUGGAAACUGGGAAACUUGAGUGCAGAAGAGGGGAGUGGAAUUCCACGUGUAGCGGUGAAAUGCGUAGAGAUGUGGAGGAACACCAGUGGCGAAGGCGACUCUCUGGUCUGUAACUGACGCUGAGGAGCGAAAGCGUGGGGAGCGAACAGGAUUAGAUACCCGCGUAGUCCCUGUCUCUUAUAC
rnacentral:rRNA from 1 species